AUUAGAAGUAUGUGAGUUUUCCGGCCAUGUACUGUGUUUUCCGGAAACGUUGGGUUUCAACUCAGAAGCAAAUCCAGGGUGGAAAUGAUUAUCCCUCUGUCCGCCAAUGGCUGGAACAAUUUUGACCAAAUGCUAACAGGCUUCUAAGAGUUACUAUCAUUUACUUGGAUCCAAAUGUGAAUUUUUUUUUCAGUUGUCGUUCUCUAGAAUUCAAUUCUUUUUUCUUUUGUUGGAGUAAGUAGGACACAGUUUUCGGGGGUAACUUUUGUACUUGGUACUUCUAGUGGGACAAAUAAAUUAUUAUAGUAAUUUGUUGUCAUAAGCUAAAUUUUGCUCGGUUAUCACAAGCUUGUAUGAGAUCACAUUUAUUUCUUGCGCUUUUUAAAGAAUAAUGAAUAUAUCUCAUUUAUCUUUGCAA